ensembl:snoRNA SNORA74 Small nucleolar RNA SNORA74
UCCAGCAGUAGUCAGCUGUCCGGACACAAUUAUUCCUGUGAUGGUGUUACACUGCUGGGAGAGAAAUGCCAUGUCUUCUUCCUCCAGUUGCCUGUGUCACUGUUCUGGUGGCUGCUGGCACUGGUGUAAGGCAGGGCUGUGCUUCCUUGAGAGUGUACUAAGCAAUUGCUCUGGCUGCUUAGUUCUAGUCUGGGAGCAAACACU